rnacentral:rRNA from 1 species
CAAAAACAUAGCCAUAAGAGGUGACUUAUGGUAACUUCUGCUCACUGAUAAUUAAAUAGCCGCAGUACCUUGACUGUGCAAAGGUAGCGCAAUCAAUUGGCCUUUAAUUGAGGUCCAGAAUGAAAGAAUCUAUAAAAAGGUAACUGUAUCCGCUGUAGAUUUGAAGUUACUUAGUAAGUGCAAAUUCUUACAAAAUUAUAAUAGACGAGAAGACCCUUGAAAUUUUUAAUACACAUGUAUAUAAUCUUUUUGUUGGGGCAACAAGGUAACAUAUAAUUUACCUACGUACACGAAAGAUGUAUCUGGUUAGAAUAAAUUACUCUAGGGAUAACAGCAUAAUUUAUUUUGAGUUUAUGACCUCGAUGUUGGACUAGGGAAAUAAGGUUUAGAAGAUUAUUAUUAAUGCUCUGUUCGAGCA